CUGUCAGUGUGUGUGUGAGUAUGUGUGUCUGUCAGUGUGUGUGUGAGUAUGUGUGUCUGCCAGUGUGUGUGUGUGUGAGUAUGUGUGUCUGUCAGUGUGUGUGUGCAUGUGAGUAUGUCUGUCAGUGUAUGUGUGUCUGUCAGUGUGUGUGUGAGUAUGUGUCUGUCAGUGUGUGUGUGUGUGCAUGUGAGUAUGUCUGUCAGUGUGUGUGUG